rnacentral:rRNA from 1 species
CUAACGUCCGUCGUGAAGAGGGAAACAACCCAGACCGCCAGCUAAGGUCCCAAAGUCAUGGUUAAGUGGGAAACGAUGUGGGAAGGCCCAGACAGCCAGGAUGUUGGCUUAGAAGCAGCCAUCAUUUAAAGAAAGCGUAAUAGCUCACUGGUCGAGUCGGCCUGCGCGGAAGAUGUAACGGGGCUAAACCAUGCACCGAAGCUGCGGCAGCGACGCUUAUGCGUUGUUGGGUAGGGGAGCGUUCUGUAAGCCUGUGAAGGUGUGCUGUGAGGUAUGCUGGAGGUAUCAGAAGUGCGAAUGCUGACAUAAGUAACGAUAAAGCGGGUGAAAAGCCCGCUCGCCGGAAGACCAAGGGUUCCUGUCCAACGUUAAUCGGGGCAGGGUGAGUCGACCCCUAAGGCGAGGCCGAAAGGCGUAGUCGAUGGGAAACAGGUUAAUAUUCCUGUACUUGGUGUUACUGCGAAGGGGGGACGGAGAAGGCUAUGUUGGCCGGGCGACGGUUGUCCCGGUUUAAGCGUGUAGGCUGGUUUUCCAGGCAAAUCCGGAAAAUCAAGGCCGAGGCGUGAUGACGAGGCACUACGGUGCUGAAGCAACAAAUGCCCUGCUUCCAGGAAAAGCCUCUAAGCAUCAGGUAACAUCAAAUCGUACCCCAAACCGACACAGGUGGUCAGGUAGAGAAUACCAAGGCGCUUGAGAGAACUCGGGUGAAGGAACUAGGCAAAAUGGUGCCGUAACUUCGGGAGAAGGCACGCUGAUACGUAGGUGAAGCGACUUGCUCGUGGAGCUGAAAUCAGUCGAAGAUACCAGCUGGCUGCAACUGUUUAUUAAAAACACAGCACUGUGCAAACACGAAAGUGGACGUAUACGGUGUGACGCCUGCCCGGUGCCGGAAGGUUAAUUGAUGGGGUUAGCGCAAGCGAAGCUCUUGAUCGAAGCCCCGGUAAACGGCGGCCGUAACUAUAACGGUCCUAAGGUAGCGAAAUUCCUUGUCGGGUAAGUUCCGACCUGCACGAAUGGCGUAAUGAUGGCCAGGCUGUCUCCACCCGAGACUCAGUGAAAUUGAACUCGCUGUGAAGAUGCAGUGUACCCGCGGCAAGACGGAAAGACCCCGUGAACCUUUACUAUAGCUUGACACUGAACAUUGAGCCUUGAUGUGUAGGAUAGGUGGGAGGCUUUGAAGUGUGGACGCCAGUCUGCAUGGAGCCGACCUUGAAAUACCACCCUUUAAUGUUUGAUGUUCUAACGUGGACCCGUGAUCCGGGUUGCGGACAGUGUCUGGUGGGUAGUUUGACUGGGGCGGUCUCCUCCUAAAGAGUAACGGAGGAGCACGAAGGUUGGCUAAUCCUGGUCGGACAUCAGGAGGUUAGUGCAAUGGCAUAAGCCAGCUUGACUG